AUUGAACGCUGGCGGCAGGCCUAACACAUGCAAGUCGAGCGGAUGAAGAGAGCUUGCUCUCUGAUUUAGCGGCGGACGGGUGAGUAAUGCAUAGGAAUCUGCCUGGUAGUGGGGGAUAACGUUACGAAAGGAACGCUAAUACCGCAUACGUCCUACGGGAGAAAGCAGGGGACCUUCUGGCCUUGCCCUAUCCGAUGAGCAGAGGUCGGAUUAGCAAGUUGGUGAGGUAAUGGCUCACCAAGGCGACGAGCCGUAACUGGUCUGAGAGGAUGAUCAGUCACACUGGAACUGAGACACGGUCCAGACUCCUACGGGAGGCAGCAGUGGGGAAUAUUGGACAAUGGGCGAAAGCCUGAUCCAGCCAUGCCGCGUGUGUGAAGAAGGUCUUCGGAUUGUAAAGCACUUUAAGUUGGGAGGAAGGGCAGUAAGUUAAUACCUUGCUGUUUUGACGUUACCGACAGAAUAAGCACCGGCUAACUUCGUGCCAGCAGCCGCGGUAAAAC
rnacentral:rRNA from 1 species